GGGUUGUGAGGUUAAGCGACUAAGCGUACACGGUGGAUGCCCUGGCAGUCAGAGGCGAUGAAGGACGUGCUAAUCUGCGAAAAGCGUCGGUAAGGUGAUAUGAACCGUUAUAACCGGCGAUGUCCGAAUGGGGAAACCCAGUGCAAUUCGUUGCACUAUCGUUAACUGAAUACAUAGGUUAACGAGGCGAACCGGGGGAACUGAAACAUCUAAGUACCCCGAGGAAAAGAAAUCAACCGAGAUUCCCCAGUAGCGGCGAGCGAACGGGGAGCAGCCCAGAGUCUGAAUCAGCUUGUGUGUUAGUGGAACGGUCUGGAAAGUCCGACGGUACAGGGUGAUAGUCCCGUACACCAAAAUGCACAGGCUGUGAACUCGAAGAGUAGGGCGGGACACGUGGUAUCCUGUCUGAAUAUGGGGGACCAUCCUCCAAGGCUAAAUACUCCUGACUGACCGAUAGUGAACCAGUACCGUGAGGGAAAGGCGAAAAGAACCCCGGCGAGGGGAGUGAAAAAGAACCUGAAACCGUGUACGUACAAGCAGUGGGAGCACCUUCGGGUGUGACUGCGUACCUUUUGUAUAAUGGGUCAGCGACUUAUAUUCUGUAGCAAGGUUAACCGUAUAGGGGAGCCGCAGGGAAACCGAGUCUUAACUGGGCGUUAAGUUGCAGGGUAUAGACCCGAAACCCGGUGAUCUAGCCAUGGGCAGGUUGAAGGUUGGGUAACACUAACUGGAGGACCGAACCGACUAAUGUUGAAAAAUUAGCGGAUGACUUGUGGCUGGGGGUGAAAGGCCAAUCAAACCGGGAGAUAGCUGGUUCUCCCCGAAAGCUAUUUAGGUAGCGCCUCGUGAACUCAUCUUCGGGGUAGAGCACUGUUUCGGCUAGGGGUCAUCCCGACUUACCAACCCGAUGCAAACUACGAAUACCGAAGAAUGUUAUCACGGGAGACACACGGCGGGUGCUAACGUCCGUCGUGAAGAGGGAAACAACCCAGACCGCCAGCUAAGGUCCCAAAGUCAUGGUUAAGUGGGAAACGAUGUGGGAAGGCACAGACAGCCAGGAUGUUGGCUUAGAAGCAGCCAUCAUUUAAAGAAAGCGUAAUAGCUCACUGGUCGAGUCGGCCUGCGCGGAAGAUGUAACGGGGCUAAACCAUGCACCGAAGCUGCGGCAGCGACACUAUGUGUUGUUGGGUAGGGGAGCGUUCUGUAAGCCUGCGAAGGUGUGCUGUGAGGCAUGCUGGAGGUAUCAGAAGUGCGAAUGCUGACAUAAGUAACGAUAAAGCGGGUGAAAAGCCCGCUCGCCGGAAGACCAAGGGUUCCUGUCCAACGUUAAUCGGGGCAGGGUGAGUCGACCCCUAAGGCGAGGCCGAAAGGCGUAGUCGAUGGGAAACAGGUUAAUAUUCCUGUACUUGGUGUUACUGCGAAGGGGGACGGAGAAGGCUAUGUUAGCCGGGCGACGGUUGUCCCGGUUUAAGCAUGUAGGCUGAUUGUCCAGGCAAAUCCGGAUAAUCAAGGCUGAGGUGUGAUGACGAGGCACUACGGUGCUGAAGUAACAAAUGCCCUGCUUCCAGGAAAAGCCUCUAAGCAUCAGGUAACAUUAAAUCGUACCCCAAACCGACACAGGUGGUCAGGUAGAGAAUACCAAGGCGCUUGAGAGAACUCGGGUGAAGGAACUAGGCAAAAUGGUGCCGUAACUUCGGGAGAAGGCACGCUGGUGUGUAGGUGAAGUCCCUGCGGAUGGAGCUGAGACCAGUCGAAGAUACCAGCUGGCUGCAACUGUUUAUUAAAACACAGCACUGUGCAAACACGAAAGUGGACGUAUACGGUGUGACGCCUGCCCGGUGCCGGAAGGUUAAUUGAUGGGGUUAUCCGUAAGGAGAAGCUCUUGAUCGAAGCCCCGGUAAACGGCGGCCGUAACUAUAACGGUCCUAAGGUAGCGAAAUUCCUUGUCGGGUAAGUUCCGACCUGCACGAAUGGCGUAAUGAUGGCCAGGCUGUCUCCACCCGAGACUCAGUGAAAUUGAACUCGCUGUGAAGAUGCAGUGUACCCGCGGCAAGACGGAAAGACCCCGUGAACCUUUACUAUAGCUUGACACUGAACAUUGAGCCUUGAUGUGUAGGAUAGGUGGGAGGCUUUGAAGCGUGGACGCCAGUCUGCGUGGAGCCAACCUUGAAAUACCACCCUUUAAUGUUUGAUGUUCUAACGUUGGCCCCUGACCGGGGUUGCGGACAGUGUCUGGUGGGUAGUUUGACUGGGGCGGUCUCCUCCCAAAGCGUAACGGAGGAGCACGAAGGUUAGCUAAUCCUGGUCGGACAUCAGGAGGUUAGUGCAAUGGCAUAAGCUAGCUUGACUGCGAGCGUGACGGCGCGAGCAGGUGCGAAAGCAGGUCAUAGUGAUCCGGUGGUUCUGAAUGGAAGGGCCAUCGCUCAACGGAUAAAAGGUACUCCGGGGAUAACAGGCUGAUACCGCCCAAGAGUUCAUAUCGACGGCGGUGUUUGGCACCUCGAUGUCGGCUCAUCACAUCCUGGGCUGAAGUAGGUCCCAAGGGUAUGGCUGUUCGCCAUUUAAAGUGGUACGCGAGCUGGGUUUAGAACGUCGUGAGACAGUUCGGUCCCUAUCUGCCGUGGGCGCUGGAGAAUUGAGGGGGCUGCUCCUAGUACGAGAGGACCGGAGUGGACGCAUCACUGGUGUUCGGGUUGUCAUGCCAAUGGCACUGCCCGGUAGCUAAAUGCGGAAGAGAUAAGUGCUGAAAGCAUCUAAGCACGAAACUUGCCCGAGAUGAGUUCUCCCUGAGACUUUAAGUCUCCUGAAGGAACGUUAAAGACGAUGACGUUGAUAGGCCGGGUGUGUAAGCGCAGCGAUGCGUUGAGCUAACCGGUACUAAUGAACCGUGAGGCUUAACCUUACAACGCCGAAG
rnacentral:rRNA from 1 species